AAUGGAAGUGGGUGUGUGUGCGAUCGUGAGGAGAGACCAGGGGAAACCUUCCCCUCAAAACCCUAACACCUCUCAAAUCAUCAAAUUAAGAAGGAAAUUGAAGGUCAAUCGAAUGCAUGUGAUCAAUUCCUUAGUCAUCUAAGGGUUUCCCAUCAUGGGGAUAGAUAGCAUGUCUACGGGCUCAAGCACGGAGGCUAAUGGGUCAAAAGAAAGCAUGGAACCUAUGCUUGAACUUGGACGCUCAAGUGUAACGCAGGUACAAUGAGAAAGUCUCACCACGGAAUGUACGA